UACGAAGGGUGCAAGCGUUACUCGGAAUUACUGGGCGUAAAGCGUGUGUAGGCGGUUUGUUAAGUCUGUCGUGAAAGCCCCGGGCUCAACCUGGGAAUGGCGAUGGAUACUGGCGAGCUAGAGUACGGUAGAGGAGAGUGGAAUUCCCGGUGUAGCAGUGAAAUGCGCAGAUAUCAGGAGGAACACCGGUGGCGAAGGCGGAUCUCUGGGCCAUUACUGACGCUGAGGAGCGAAAGCGUGGGGAGCGAACAGG
rnacentral:rRNA from 1 species